UCUCAGUUACCUGAGGUGAGUUGCUCAGAUAACUUAGAAUUUCGCCUUUACUACCAAAAGGCUCAAGUCAGGAAUGAAAGAAACCUGAAAGAGCCUUCAAAAGGAGAUCAGCUGCUGAAACUUACAACUUUAUCGAAGGAAAGAAAUAUAUGAAGAGGAGAAGGAAGUUGGAUGUGGACUCAAGUUCCAAAGUGGACUCUGGAGAACUGUCUGAAUUACAGAGACAUUACAAGUGACUGCCAUUCAGAAAGUUUGCCACUAUCCUGGCAUUUCUCUAACCAUCAGAAAAUUCUUUACUUCCAAAGAGGAUUGAUUUGACCAACUUUGCACCAAAAUAUCUAGAGGAGGACUGAGCAUCUGUUAGAGGAGAAAUAACUACAUACAAUUUGGCCAAGGGACAAAAAACUCAGUUCUGUCCUAUCCAUUCAUCCAUGCAUCUAUCAAUCCAUUCACCUAUCCAUCUUCAGUUGUUUGGUUGCUUGAUUCAUUCAACAGAUACUUAUUGAGGUUGUAGUCUGGAAUUGCAGCAGCUGUUCUCUUAGUGUGCUGAGGAUGAGCUGAGUCAAGGCAGAAGGGCAGAGCCAAGAAAACUGGAGAAAUAGCACUGGAGCCUCUGGAUUGGGCAAUCCCGAAGCCCAUGUUACCUCUGGACUCCAGGUAGAUGAGCCACUGUUUUCUUGUUAUGCCGGCUGGAGUUGAGUUUCUGUUUCUUGCAGUUAGGAUGCACCCCAGUUUAUUUAACCAUUCCACUGUUGACAC